UCCCUGGUGGUCCAGUGGUUAGGACUCAUCGCUUUCACUGCUGGGGCCUGGGUUCCGUACCUGGUCAGGGAA
rnacentral:tRNA from 1 species